rnacentral:rRNA from 1 species
CAGCAGCCGCGGUAAUACAGAGGAUGCAAGCGUUAUCCGGAAUGAUUGGGCGUAAAGCGUCUGUAGGUGGCUUUUCAAGUCCGCCGUCAAAUCCCAGGGCUCAACCCUGGACAGGCGGUGGAAACUACCAAGCUGGAGUACGGUAGGGGCAGAGGGAAUUUCUGGUGGAGCGGUGAAAUGCAUUGAGAUCGGAAAGAACACAAACGGCGAAAGCACUCUGCUGGGCCGACACUGACACUGAGAGACGAAAGCUAGGGGAGCAAAUGGGAUUAGAGACCCCAGUAGUCCUAGCCGUAAACGAUGGAUACUAGGUGCUGUGCGACUCGACCCGUGCAGUGCUGUAGCUAACGCGUUAAGUAUCCCGCCUGGGGAGUACGUUCGCAAGAAUGAAACUCAAAG